rnacentral:lncRNA from 1 species
CUCCAUACGUCACGGGGAAUUUCCAGUGGGGAAGGAAAUCAACUUCAUGAACUGAGACCAAACUUCACCUGUAGGACUUUAGCGUCUCGUUCUGGGAAUUAAAUAUCAAUUUAUUCACUCGGAUUGAAAUUAUUUUCAACUGUAAUGACGCCGUAGUGUCGCGUCAUGACGCUCUCCAAUUAAACCUGGCUGUUGUAAAUGGAUCCACUGGUUUAGCACGAGCAUGGCGAAAUGAAGUGCAAAAGUCAACUGAAGUGAAGUGGACCGAGCAGUGUCACUCAUCCGACUGUUAACCUGACCAGCUAACCAGACACCAUGGCUGGAGACGACCACUACCUCCAUACCUCCAACCAGAUUUUCGACAUGAUCGAUCCGUCGUGGGAGUUCACACCGUUCCCCCGCGAUGUCUCAGACCACGUCCCUGCGGACAGGUGAGAGUCGACCGUCACACACCUGCUGCUG